ACAGGAACACAACCCGUGGAUGGCACUUCCCAAGGAGAUACACACACCAGAUGGAUGCCUUCCUGGCCGGUCCGGGACCAGCAGACCGCGGCAUCAUCACCACCAAGUCAGCGAGGAUAUGCAACCAAUCACCUUAAAGCUAGACUCGAGGCGACGGUAGCGUCACAUCCUGUUACACCUGCGCACUCAAUUAAGAGUUAAUUAGAGUCAAUCAGCAGCUGGGACAUGGCGACUGGUAACAACCCUCCAAGUGAAGGGGCUUUCGUCUCAAGCCGAGGCAGCAGAACGGACUUUUGUGCAGCAGAUGGUUAGGGGGCUGUCCCCGUCCCCAACCGCAUCUCUUGAAGUGAGCGGAGAGCACAGCAGUUAGGGCUGGAGCCCGCCAGCGUCAUCACUACGGUGCCUCCCAAUACCAAUACUAGUUCGAGGCAAGCCACGUGCAGGCUGCUGCUUCCCUCACCAUUCACACACCAACCUGUUCAUGCCAGGAAGGUUACCCCAGAAGUAGCGGGCGCGGUGGGCAGCGGACACUUCCUUGGCAUCGAUCAUCACCGGGUUGCACUGAAAUCAAAGUAAAGCAGAGGAGAAGAUAUCGGUGAGCUGGCCUGGGAACACUCCAGCGCCCGUGGUCUGUGCAAAUGAUAAUUCUCCAUGACAUCCUGCUCAGCAGCGACUGCCUCCUGUGGGCUAAUGACACCGACAGAGAGCUGCAAAGGAAGCACUUAAUGAUGAGGGACACAGAGCACAUUACAGCUGGCCAAUGAGUGAGGAGCGCCGGGUGACCCGAAGAGCCUCGGACCAGGCGCCCCAGACAUGCCUGGAUCACAUGCAUGUUCGCUGACCAGCAGAGCGAGAGGAAACCACCUACCCUCAGGACGUCUACACACAGGCAGGAUUUCUCUCUUAUUAUUUUUUGCAUUGCUUGUUUCUUCUCACGGUGAUCUCUACUGUUAUGACAGAGCCUCUUUCCAGUCACUAACUUACUACUGUGGCGUGUGUUGAGUGGUUUUUAUUGCUGCUUACAGGCACCAGCAAGGCUCUCUUUAAAGGAGCCCGUCCACUGAAAUGCAGUCGAGCAUUAUUUCAUUUUUAUUUAAAACAAUGAAUAUUAUAAUCAGGGUUACAACUAAUGUUUACUUUAAAGACCAGUGUGUAGCAUUUCAGGGGAUCUAUUAGCAGAAAUAGAAUAUGAUAUUCAUAAUUAUGUUUUUAUUA